CAGGAAUGCAGGGAUCAGUUUUGCUAUUGUACUGGUUUGACUACAUGCAACUAUUAAGUAAGAGUCGCCAUGCUCAUAGUUAAUGUGUGAAGUGCUGAACUUUUACCACUCCUUGAUACUUUUAGUGAUUUAAAAGGAAGAGACGCAUCUUACUGUGGUGUAGUUUUCCAAGUCACAUUGUGGGUAUUUUAGUAAGCAAGGUAUUUGUGACUCUAGUUUCUCCUCUUCUUCUUGGAUUAUGUGAUUUGGUUACCACAGCAUGUGGUGCGUUGGCAGGGGACUGUUGUGCUGCUGAAGCUUGAGAGUGAAGGACUCAGACCCCUGCUGCUAUGAUCCAGAUGCAGAACUCCACCAGCUGCACUGCAAUUGGUUUUGUGCCUUUGCCAAAGCUCCCUUAAUUCAGGUCUGCAGCACUCCCUUGUGCUUGUUAUCAGUUUUGGGAUUUCCUUAAACAGUUGUGCUUGGUUUUACAGCCUUGGAAAAAGCGUGCCUAAUGUUGAACCUCUGCUCAGCUUUCCUGGCUGCGCAUGCACUAUACAUUUAAAACAUAUUCUAAACACAUUAUUUCCCUCAAAUAAUUCUGGGCACUGUAGUUGGUUAAGCAUUACCGGGAUUGUAAUCCUGCUUGCAGUAAAUACAUUGUCCAGAAUUAUUUGUGGGAAUGAAUGUGUUUUAAAUGUGCUUUAAAUGUAUAUAGUGUGUACACAGCCCCUAGUCUUGGCAUGCAGUGUGUAUAAUGCUUCAUUGCCACCCAUUUCACCCCAUUUUAUCCCCCUUGCUAUUUGAGCACCCUUAGCUGUUCAGUCCUUGCAAGUGCUGCAUGUAUUUGUCAGCCCAAGGCUUGUUCUGAAAUUGGACAGAAUGAUAAGUGAGUUGGUCCACAACAGCCUUGUAUUUAAGCACUUGCCUGGGAGCCAUAGGUGAUGAGACAUGAAAGGCCACUGCCAGAACUGGAUUGGCUGCUUCACUCCCAUUAUUUCACUUCCUUCCUGGUGCCCAACUAUGUUUGUGAUGUGGCUGGCAGUGUUAGGGUUGGUAGUGCACCUCCUCAUUCCACAGAUUAGCCCUAGUGAAUAAAGUGAGAUUUCAGUUUGCAAUUAUGUUCAGACUUAUUUUAUUCGGCUGGUUGGCCUAUGUCUCUUCAGCAUCCGUUGAGUCCAUUGAAAAAUGGUUUUAGGGAGAGCUGAGGGUAGCUCCAGAGACACCCUUCAUUUGUUGGACUGCCGCUGUCUUUCAACUCCAGUUAGCAUAGCCAAGUGGUCAUUUAUUAUUAGAGUUGUAGUCCCAACACCAGCUGAAGUGCACCGUGUUGGCUACCUCUGACUCUUAGGAAAUGUGUGGGUGGUUGUCUGCAGUACUGCAUGCUCUUUCCUAAUUUUCCAAGCAUUAGAAACAACUCUUCUGUCAUCACAGGAUUUCUCCGUCUGUAGAUCAGUGAAAGGUAGGCCUUUCUGUAGAAACAGAAGAAUUGUGCUCAAACUACCAUGCAUGAUUAGUGUGACGUCCUCAUAAGCCCCAAUUUAGGACCUGAAAUUUUUUAUCCAGUUCCCACAUAAUGGGUGGUGGUGUGAAGGAGUGGCCAUUCUCUUGUUUUCACUUUUUUUGGUAAAUGGGCUAGGGAGCACUGUAAUUUGGCUUUGUACUGUAGAAGGACACUUUCCCAUAAUGGCAUAAAAAUAAUAAUCCUGAAAUGAUGGAGCAGUGAGGCCAGUGGAAAGGACAUGUAAGGUUAUGUGUGCUUUAGACUUUUAAAAUAUCAGCGCUGGAAGUGGAGUUUUAACACUGGGGUUGCACAGAAUAUGCACAGCUACCUUCAGCACACAUUGUUCUUCAAAGCCAAGAAUUACUUGUAAGGAAGGAAAGAUGUGUCACUCAUCCCAGACCCUGUGGGAUAAGUCCAGCUUAAGAUCCAGUCCAGCAUCCUCGUCUCACAACCAAGUAGGGGUUUCCAUAGGCAUGAAAGCAAUACUCAUCUCCCACUCAUGAUCCCCAGCAGCUUGUAUUCAGAGGCAUACUGCCUCUGAUACAUGAGCUGAUAAAUAUAAUUAUAAUUAUUUAUGAAUUUAUGAAUCACCUUUUGCAUGUGUCUCAAGGUGCUUUAUAGAUAGAACAUAAAAACAACUGAUCAUAGUUUUAAAACAGUACCCCAAACAACAAAAAAUAGGUGUUCAUUUUUUUUAAACCCAAGGCAAAUAAAUCUUUUCAUCCCGCUAGAAGAGCUUGUUGAAACAACAAAAUUCUUCAGUAUUCUCCAGAAAAGAACAGAGCAAGGGGGCAGCCACCAUGAAAGCCCUGCUCCAAGUUACUGUGGAACAGGCUUCUGAUAUUUUUGGAAGUUGGAGGCAAAACUCUGGUUCAGAAUGCAGUUAUCUACUGGAUAUAUAAGGGAUAAGGUGGUAUUUCAAGUAACCUAGCCCUGAACUUUAUAUGUAAGUACCAAAACCUUAAACUUAGCCCAGUGAUGGAUUGGUAGUCAGUGCAAAUCGUGCAAACAAGGUGCUAUAUAGUGAAGGUAGUUUGCUACCAGCAGCAGCCUAGCCACCACAUUCUGCACUAGUUGCAGCCCCUUGACCAACCUCAAGGGUAAUCAUCAUGACUGGUAGCCAUUUCCUUAUGAAUUUGUCUAAAAUUCAUAAUUUAAGGCCAUCCAAGUUUGGUGACCAUCAGUAAUAACUUGUUUGAAGGCAUUGCACAGGGCAACUACAGUACCAGUGACUUAGCUAUUUGAGCAGCGGAACAUGCAACAGUUUCCCUAGGUAUGAAGCACAGUUCAUUCGCUGGUGGGAAAUUCAGUGUGUCCAGAAGGGCAUCCUUUAAAGAAGACUGCUGGACACAGGGCAGUAAAUGGACAACAACUGUGUACUAAACUGUUGUACUAUAAGUAUAUUGUACAGAAGGAGCAACAGCGGGGAGGAAAGUACUGUACUGCUUCCAGUACACCAUGGAACAGAAUUUUCUUGUUUCUUGUAGGAAGGGAAGUUACCCAAAGCUUCUUGACAAGAGCUGUAGACUGUCAUGGAUCUAUUUCUGAACUAGAGAACAGCAAAGGCUGAAUGACAGAAGGGAAGCACUGUUAAAUAUGGUGAAAAUCAGAACAGUUUUCAUCUUGACAUUGGAAGGCUUACAUGGUGUACCAGAGCCUAGAAGUGCUGCAGGUCUUACUCAAAUAGAUGGGACUUGGCAUUGAUUUCAGGAUUGCAUUGUCCAUUUGGUUGGUAUUUGUACCAUCUAUUUUAAAAGGAAGCAGCAUUUCCCUCUUCACUUGUAUCAAAGCCUUUUCAACAGUUAUUCAUCACAGUGCAGCAAAACAGAUUUAUACUUCCUUUUGUCUGUGUAAGCCACUCUCUCAAUGCCUAUAUCAGUAGCAAAAAUAAUUACAUGUUCUCAGUUUUUUUUUGUCCAAGAUUUUCUAAUUAUAAACCAAUGCAUUCAGAAUGACGGCAGAAUCAGCAUGCCAGAUCUAGGCUUCUGAUGCAUCUGUAGAGAUUAUCUAGAUCUGUUCUCUGUUAAGCAGUGACAGUUUGGACAAAUGGACACAACUGCUUGGAGAGUAUGACACCAUCUAGCUUUUAACAAAUGUAUGUACUGAGUAGUUAAUGUAUGGACUUUUUAAAAAAAAUCUCCUUUGCCUCUUCCAGAGGAGUGGAUGUGGGAAGCAGACAUAAAAAAAACAACCUCCGUUCAAAUACCAUAUCAGCUUUUUUUGUAAUAAUCUUAUUUUUGAAACAAACUUUAUUUAUUUACUCAUAGUAUAUGCUUGAUAUACAUAGCCGUGACAUAUUCUUUCAAAAAUAUACAGUACAGUCCACGUGAAAUGUUUCUGAGCAGGCCUCCUGGUGAUCUUUAUUUUCUCUGUUCACCUGUGGUUCUUUCUGCUGUGAAUAUCCCACCAAGGUUGUUCCCAGUCCUUACACCAUCUCCCAUUCUACAAAAAAAGUAUGAAACUUGUUAGUUGUGGUUUGCGUGCUAUGGCUUAUUGAAUCUACUGGGAAUAAAACGACAAAAAUUGACUUUGAAUGGUCGAUGACCCUUUUCUGUGGCACUUAAUACCAUUUUUAUAACUUAUUUUGAAAGGGACCACAAUUAGCUUUGUUUUGAUACCAAAACAAACCCAAUUGGUUGAAAAAUAAGUGAAACAGGAGGUUUUUUCAAAACUGACGCAGAAAUUGCAUUAGCCUAAAUCGCGUGAAAAUCAAAAUUUUUAAAAAAAUUCUCCUGAGCCAAAUUUUGGACC